AAACAACUGUGUUCACCUCCCCGCUGCUCCGCGAGUCUAUAAGCUUGGAGUGGCGCCCCCGCAACAAUACGGCCAAUCAAAAAAUUCAACAAUAACAACAACAAUUAUAAACAAUGAGUUGAAAGAUGGAUGAUGAUCCAGUAUGAAUGUACUUCAAGUAAUCCAGCUUCAACAACUCAUGAAGCAUCAAAAAUAUUGGAUGGAGCAAAAGAAAAAAUAAACACCAAAUGAUAUAAAGAAUGAUCUAUCAAAAAACCAGUUGUAUUUUUAUUUUUUAGUCAACAGAUUAUUCAUCAAUAACAUCAGCAUCAAUGACAAAAAGAAAUGAGCUAUCAUGCUGUAACAUGUGGUGCAUUAUAAUCGUAGUAGGUAUAAAUUAAACCAAGUGCAUCAUUUGUCAGGGUAGUCCAACUGCUUGAUAAGACAAAAAGGAUUCAUCAAAAGAACCUAUUCAAAGUUGAAGAUAACUUUCUCUGAUAGAUUAUCAACAGAUUUUGGUUCAAGUAUCAAAAU